UGAGAUCAGCUGCUUCGGUGUUGUCAGAGUCAGCCAGAGGUGAGUGGAACUAAAACUUAAUCUUUUAAAUUAAAUGCUUUGUCAUGUUUCAUACAUCAUGAUUAUGCAAUAGGAUGAUUGCAUUAGUUUUCACGAAUAUGCCGCAUUGCAUAAUUUAUUGUUGUUGCGGGUGAAUGUCGGAUGACCCAGUUAGUCCAUGACAGGAAGACCAGGCCCCAUGCUACAGGCCUGGCACAGAGUAAGAAAGACCAGGCCCCAGUCUACAGGCCUGGCACAGAGUAAGGAAAGACCAGGAUCCCAUCCUAUGGUCUAGCACGGCUAUGGGAUUUGAAGACCAGGAGCCAGAGGAGGCCCUGGGAAAAUGGUAAGUAAUAUAUGUUCUGACAGGAAAGACCAGGACCCCAUUCUACAGGCCUGGCACAGAGUUAAUUUGGACUAAUUGGUGACGAGUUCACCCAACCCUUAUGUGAAUUGUUUGUGUUAUGAUGCAUUUCAUUAAAGCAUAGUGUUAAAAUGUUUUAUAGUUCAGCUCACUGGGCUUUUAGCUCACCCCUCUCCCUUUACCCCCAGGCUUGCAGGUACAGUAUAGUGCGGGAAUCCGGAUAGAGUAAAGAAGGCAUGUUUAUGUAAUAGCUAGUAAUGGACAUGAUCAAAUUGUAAUGUAAAAGUACAGUAUAGUUAUGUAAUGAGGUUUAUGGAUGUUAGUGUGUGCUUGACCAUAGAAUGUUGUAUCCCUUUUUAUACAUGAUCUUGGUUAUUUUAUGUCACUGAUGUAAACCAACUCAACAGAUGUUAUGUUUUCCCAUUGGGGGCACAGAUGAGAUCCCACAGAGGGAUCAAAGUUAUGCUUAUGUUUAUGCACAGGUUGAGUUUGGUUGAUGUUC
rnacentral:lncRNA from 1 species